GGGAAGAAAAAAAAAACAGUUCUCAAUCGUAAAAUUGCUAACAGUGAACAAAAAAAGCCUAUCAUAUCUAUGCUUCUUUACCGAAGCUUUUCUUCGAUUAAUCGCGUUUCUUUUUUCCAUUUUAUGUUCGCAGCAAGCACGAACUUGGGUUUAAAUAUAACGUGGCUUGUUUGUUUUCGUGUCCAGACUCAAUGCCAAGAGGUAAACGGCAGUUGCUAUUGUACGUGGUAAUUUUUGCUGACGUAACGCGAUCUUUACGAAAGACUUUAACGACCAGAAAACGAGUUUUGAAUAAUUUUGAUGAUUCAUUCGUCAAUUCUUAAACGAGUAAUUAAUUAAUCGAUUGGUAAGAAUUAUUAGCUACACGUACUCACCUUGGGUGCCAUUUUUCGCUCCUGAAACAGAACAUAAAUAAUAAAUUAAUUAGAUGUAUUUCGAAGGGACAGCUUUUAUACAUGAAUACAUAUUCAUACUCUUCGUUCAAAAUAAAAUUUGCAAUUCGUUCGAUCCCCCAUUACUAAUUAUCCCUGUCCUAACUCUAAAUUCCACGUUGUCGGCAUGGAUGCUCGAGAAAUUGAGAAAGGAAACAAGGGAUGAGCAGGCGUGGUUUUUUAGUUGGUGGGAGGACUAAUGGCGAAGACUAGCAGAGUUGGGACAUGUAUUGGAACCGCUCGAUCCUUUAAGACACCGCCUAUUUUGAUGAUAUCUAGCAACUGGACGUACAAAAAGAAGAAUACUGCGCCGCCUUUGUUGUUGGGACGGGGCUCGAUAGAUCGAACGAUACAGAAAACGACCUAAACAACAACGGGUGGUUAUACUCCUUUCCAUACCUUUGGAAUAAAUGUAUAGAGUAAAAUAAAA